rnacentral:rRNA from 1 species
UACGAAGGGGGCUAGCGUUGUUCGGAAUCACUGGGCGUAAAGGGCGCGUAGGCGGCUAUGUAAGUCGGGGGUGAAAGCCUGUGGCUCAACCACAGAAUUGCCUUCGAUACUGCAUGGCUUGAGACCGGAAGAGGUCAGCGGAACUGCGAGUGUAGAGGUGAAAUUCGUAGAUAUUCGCAAGAACACCAGUGGCGAAGGCGGCUGACUGGUCCGGAUCUGACGCUGAGGCGCGAAAGCGUGGGGAGCAAACAGG